ACGGAGGGUGCAAGCGUUAUCCGGAUUUAAUAGGUUUAAAGGGUCCGCAGGCGGAAUAUUAAGUCAGUGGUGAAAGCCUACAGCUCAACUGUAGAACUGCCAUUGAAACUGUUAUUCUUGAGUAUGGAUGAAGUGGGCGGAAUAUGUCAUGUAGCGGUGAAAUGCAUAGAUAUGACAUGGAACACCAAUUGCGAAGGCAGCUCACUAAACCAUUACUGACGCUCAUGGACGAAAGCGUGGGGAGCGAACAGG
rnacentral:rRNA from 1 species